rnacentral:rRNA from 1 species
UAGUCCACGCCGUAAACGAUGAGUGCUAGACGUCGCGGGUAUUGACCCCUGCGGUGUCGUAGUUAACGCGUUAAGCACUCCGCCUGGGGAGUACGGCCGCAAGGUUAAAACUCAAAGGAAUUGACGGGGCCCGCACAAGCGGUGGAGCAUGUGGUUUAAUUCGACGCAACGCGCAGAACCUUACCCAGGUUGGAAAUCCCGAGAAUCCCCUAGAGAUAGGGGAGUGCCCUUCGGGGAAUUCGGUGUCCAGGUGCUGCAUGGCUGUCGUCAGCUCGUGUCGUGAGAUGUUGGGUUAAGUCCCGCAACGAGCGCAACCCUUGUCGUUAGUUGCCAGCGAGUCAUGUCGGGCACUCUAGCGAGACUGCCGGUGUUAAGCCGGAGGAAGGUGGGGAUGACGUCAAGUCCUCAUGGGCCCUUAUGCCUGGGGGCUACACACGUGCUACAAUGGCCGGUACAAAGGGGUCGCAACAUCGCGAGGUGAAGCCAAUCCCAAAAA